rnacentral:rRNA from 1 species
GAUGAACGCUGGCGGCGUGCCUAAUACAUGCAAGUCGAGCGAACGGACGAGAAGCUUGCUUCUCUGAUGUUAGCGGCGGACGGGUGAGUAACACGUGGAUAACCUACCUAUAAGACUGGGAUAACUUCGGGAAACCGGAGCUAAUACCGGAUGAUAUUUUGAACCGCAUGGUUCAAAAGUGAAAGACGGUCUUGCUGUCACUUAUAGAUGGAUCCGCGCUGCAUUAGCUAGUUGGUAAGGUAACGGCUUACCACGGCAACGAUGCAUAGCCGACCUGAGAGGGUGAUCGGCCACACUGGAACUGAGACACGGUCCAGACUCCUACGGGAGGCAGCAGUAGGGAAUCUUCCGCAAUGGGCGAAAGCCUGACGGAGCAACGCCGCGUGAGUGAUGAAGGUCUUCGGAUCGUAAAACUCUGUUAUUAGGGAAGAACAUAUGUGUAAGUAACUGUGCACAUCUUGACGGUACCUAAUCAGAAAGCCACGGCUAACUACGUG